rnacentral:rRNA from 1 species
GAUGAACGCUGGCGGCGUGCUUAACACAUGCAAGUCGAACGAAGCAUUUGCGACAGAUUUUUUCGGAAUGAAGUUGCUUAUGACUGAGUGGCGGACGGGUGAGUAACGCGUGGGUAACCUGCCUUGUACUGGGGGAUAGCAGCUGGAAACGGCUGGUAAUACCGCAUAGGCGCACAAUGUUGCAUGACAUGGUGUGAAAAACUCCGGUGGUAUAAGAUGGACCCGCGUCUGAUUAGCUAGUUGGUGAGAUAACAGCCCACCAAGGCGACGAUCAGUAGCCGACCUGAGAGGGUGACCGGCCACAUUGGGACUGAGACACGGCCCAGACUCCUACGGGAAGCAGCAGUGGGGAAUAUUGCACAAUGGAGGAAACUCUGAUGCAGCGACGCCGCGUGAGUGAAGAAGUAAUUCGUUAUGUAAAGCUCUAUCAGCAGGGAAGAUAGUGACGGUACCUGACGAAGAAGCUCCGGCUAAAUACGUG